rnacentral:lncRNA from 1 species
CAAGUCAUUACCCACCCCCACUUUAUUGCUGCUGCUUUCAUUUGUCUCUGUCUGCCCCUCCUAAUUACUUAGGUCACUUCAGACUUUAAUUCUGUCUUCUAAAGUGUAACACAGCCAUAAUUAGGCCAUAUGUUAAUUAGCAAGAUGACGUCUUGUCACUCGUGAGAAAUGUGGAUCAUCCCAGAAUGUACCAUAGAAAGGGGAGUUCAGUGAGAAGGGGAAGUCUAAGGAGGCUGGAAGUGACUCUCUGCUCAGCCAAAACUGCCUUAGAGAGCAGGAGAAAAUGGCGGGAUGCAAGAGGGGGAAAGGAUGGGGUCACACAAAGAAAAAGAGCUAGAGUUGACCAUUUCUCCACUCCAGCAAUGAGAUGUAAGCCAGGAGGCAAACCUGAGGCCACAAAGCCACCAGGGAUGGCAGAAUCUCCUGAAGGACUGGAGGUGGCCAGGGCUGAGGUCAAGGCCCCGAUGGAGGCAAGGAGGAUGGAAGAGAGACCAAGAGAACAAAUGAGUGACUUAAUAACCUCACUUUACCCAGAGAAUGGAAAAUAAAAUGCAAGAUUCCAAACCCUGCCGUUUCAUUUCAUCUAUGAAAAAUACAGGAAAAGGUGGGCUGUUUUGGCUUCCUACCAUGGAUGAGGAUCUUGAAGGAGAAACUUGGCAGAGCUUCUCUAUUCCCUGGGGCUUCAGCAAGGCGGUAGAGGAUGAAGAAGAGCAUAUAUGCCAGUGAGUAACAGUCAUUAAGUAAAAAUAGCAGGGGUCUUCUCACUGCUUUCUGAGAUUAGCUCAUGUUUUUGGGUAGGAUCAAUCUGGACAAGGGUUGAAAGCCAUGUCUCAGAAUUAUAUAAGAAUGAUGCCUUUGCUAGGAAAGUGAUGAGAUCCUUCUGAGUUUUGUCCAGGUAAUUCUAAUAUUUAAAAAGAAUAUUGGAUGUGAGGCAAGAAUAUCCUGUAAAAGAAAAGUACAAAACCAUACGCUACUUUGGUUGUUUAUUUCCUUAAGACUAAAUGUCCAGAGGUACUUUUGGGAAAAGAGAAAGUGAUUCUAGCUGCUUGUCCUUAUACAUGGUAUUAAAAUAGGCUAUCAUUCACAGGAAACUUUUGACUGCACUUUUUGCAAGGGGAAUUGGACUGUGCUGUGUCUAUUUUCUUUGAAAAAUGGUCUCUUCUCAGUGACAAAUGUAUCUUUCAGGAUGAAAAGUUUUGAUUUUUAAAUAGAAAAUGCUAUGUUGGCUAUGCAAGUUGGUUUGUGUUUAAUUGCUUCUUUACGUUCAAUGGUCUUGAUAAAUAAGUUUUUCUCCUUUGAGAAAAACCAUAAUUUUAUAGAAAGCUCAGAUUAUUGCUGAGUGGCUUAUGGUUUAUAUAAAUAUGUAAUUCUUUCUUGUGGUUGUCUAAAUUUCAAAUAUGAGAAAUCUGUCAGUAAUGCCUACAUUUUGGUAUGCUGAUUGGGAAGUUUUCAGUCCUUCUGCUAUUUAAUGCUUUCUCAUUAAUCACUGACACUGUGUAUUAUAAGCCACUUACGAGUUUAUUUAAAUGCUAUUCUUUCAGUGGAUUCUGAUUAUUGAAUGUUUAGGCAUUGCAAUAAGAGCAUUAUGUGGAGGCCCAAGUAUAAAGGAGCUGCCACAGGUUAAGAGAAGCUCUUCAAAUGGAUAAAACUCAUUACUCUUCACUUUGACUACUUGGGACUUUGAGCCAAAUAUUUUUUAGAGUUGCCAUAAUUUUUAAUAACAGUAAUCACUUGGUAGCACUAUUUGUUUGAAAAGUUUUGAGAGUUUGCAUGAGUGCAAAUGAAACCUCUUUCUGUUAUGUAGUUCACUGUAAGGAAAAUUUAGGAGUUAAUGUUGUCAUUCUAUGAAACCAAAACACACAGAACAGUCUGACAUUUUGGAACUAGCAGCUAUGAUCUCCCAAAACUACUGUUUGCUUGUGACGUAACUUCACUGGAUAACUUUUCUUUUUAGUGCACACAUUUUCCUCUUGAUUUCAUACUUGAAGGAUGAAAUGAUUGAAUAUUAGGGCUAAGGAAAGUGACCGCUGAAGACAUACGAUCCUGGGAUUUGUGUCUCUUGCUUGCCUAGUCAAUAACAUGAGAAGAAAUAGAUUCAACUUCAAGCUCAUUGAAGCAUAUUGUUUAUGGGUUUAGGAGAAAGUAGGUAAUAAAAGACAUAAGAAAUAUUUUAAAUCA